rnacentral:rRNA from 1 species
GACAGAGGAUGCAAGCGUUAUCCGGAAUGAUUGGGCGUAAAGCGUCUGUAGGUGGCUUUUUAAGUCCGCCGUCAAAUCCCAGGGCUCAACCCUGGACAGGCGGUGGAAACUACCAAGCUGGAGUACGGUAGGGGCAGAGGGAAUUCCCGGUGUAGCGGUGGAAUGCGUAGAGAUCGGGAAGAACAUCAGUGGCGAAGGCGGCCUGCUGGGCUGUUGCUGACGCUGAGGCGCGACAGCGUGGGGAGCAAACAGG